GACGAACGCUGGCGGCGUGCUUAACACAUGCAAGUCGAACGGUAAGGCCCUUCGGGGUACACGAGUGGCGAACGGGUGAGUAACACGUGGGUGAUCUGCCCUGCACUUCGGGAUAAGCCUGGGAAACUGGGUCUAAUACCGGAUAGGACCACUGCCUGCAUGGGUGGUGGUGGAAAGCUUUUGCGGUGUGGGAUGGGCCCGCGGCCUAUCAGCUUGUUGGUGGGGUAAUGGCCUACCAAGGCGACGACGGGUAGCCGGCCUGAGAGGGUGACCGGCCACACUGGGACUGAGAUACGGCCCAGAAUCCUACGGGAGGCAGCAGGGGGGAAUAUUGCGCAAUGGGCGCAAGCCUGAUGCAGCGAGGCCGCGUGAGGGAUGACGGCCUUCGGGUUGUAAACCUCUUUCAGUAGGGACGAAGCGCAAGUGACGGUACCUACAGAAGAAGGACCGGCCAACUACGUGCCAGCCGCCGCCGUAA
rnacentral:rRNA from 1 species